AAUGAACGUUGGCGGCAUGGAUUAGGCAUGCAAGUCGAGCGCGAAACGUAGCACUACGUGGAGAGCGGCGAAAGGGAGAGGAAUAUGUGGGAACCUACCUUCGGGCCUGGAAUAGCGGCGGGAAACUGCCGGUAAUGCCAGAUAACGUCCCCGGACCAAAGGUGUGAUUCCGCCUGGAGAUGGGCCCACAUCCUAUCAGCUUGUUGGUGUGGUAACGGCGCACCAAGGCUAAGACGGGUAUGGGGUGUGAGAGCAUGCCCCCACUCACUGGGACUGAGACACUGCCCAGACACCUACGGGUGGCUGCAGUCGAGAAUCUUCGGCAAUGAGCGCAAGCUUGACCGAGCGAUGCCGCGGGCGGGAUGAAGGCCCUCGGGUUGUAAACCGCUGUCGUAGGGGAAUAACGGUCGGUGGGUUCUCCCAUCGAUUUGAAUGAUCCUAGGAGGAAGGACGGGCUAAGUUCGUG
rnacentral:rRNA from 1 species